ACUACGGGAGGCAGCAGUGGGGAAUAUUGGGCAAUGGGCGCAAGCCUGACCCAGCAACGCCGCGUGAAGGAAGAAGGCUUUCGGGUUGUAAACUUCUUUUGACAGGGAAGAGCAGAAGACGGUACCUGUCGAAUAAGCCACGGCUAACUACGUGCCAGCAGCCGCGGUAAUACGUAGGUGGCAAGCGUUGUCCGGAUUUACUGGGUGUAAAGGGCGUGUAGCCGGGCUGACAAGUCAGAUGUGAAAUCCGGGGGCUCAACCCCCGAACUGCAUUUGAAACUGUUGGUCUUGAGUCUCGGAGAGGCAGGCGGAAUUCCUAGUGUAGCGGUGAAAUGCGUAGAUAUUAGGAGGAACACCAGUGGCGAAGGCGGCCUGCUGGACGACAACUGACGGUGAGGCGCGAAAGCGUGGGGAGCAAACAGGAUUAGAUACCCUAGUAGUC
rnacentral:rRNA from 1 species